UCCCUGGUGGUCCAGUGGUUAGGACUCGGUGCUUUUACUGCCGUGGCCCAGGUUUGAUCCCUGGUUGGGAAA
rnacentral:tRNA from 1 species